AAUGAACGUUGGCGGCGUGGAUUAGGCAUGCAAGUCGAGCGCGAUAUGUAGCAAUACAUGGAGGGCGGCGAAAGGGAGAGUAAUACGUAGGUAUCUACCCUCGGGUCUGGGAUAGCAGCGGGAAACUGCUGGUAAUACCAGAUAACGUCUCCGGACCAAAGGUGUGAUUCCACCUGAGGAGGAGCCUACGGCCUAUUAGCUAGUUGGUAGGGUAACGGCCUACCAAGGCAAAGAUGGGUAUGGGGUGUGAGAGCAUGCCCCCACUCACUGGGACUGAGGCACUGCCCAGACACCUACGGGUGGCUGCAGUCGAGAAUCUUCGGCAAUGGGCGAAAGCCUGACCGAGCGACGCCGCGUGCGGGAUGAAGGCCUUCGGGUUGUAAACCGCUGUCGUAGUGGAGGAAAUGUAGGAGAGUUAUCUCUUUUACUUGACUAAUACUAGGAGGAAGGACCGGCUAAUCUCGUGCCAGCAGCCGCCGUAAGAC
rnacentral:rRNA from 1 species